rnacentral:tRNA from 1 species
CAUUAAGAAGCUAUGCCCAGCACUAGCCUUUUAAGCUAGAGACGGAGAUUCAACAAUCCCCUUAAUGA